rnacentral:rRNA from 1 species
AGUGAACGCUGGCGGCAGGCUUAACACAUGCAAGUCGAACGGCAACACACUACGAGCUUGCUCUUACGGGUGACGAGUGGCGGACGGCUGCGGAAUACGUCGGAAUCUACUUUUUCGCGGCUGGUAACGUAGGCUAACAUACGCUAAUACCUCAGACGACCUACGGGUGAACGCAGGGGAUCUUCGGACCUUGCGCGCUUGUGUGAGCCGAUGUCGGAUUAGCUAGUUGGCGGGGUAAAGGCACACCAAGGCAACGAUCCGUAGCUGGUCUGAGAGGAUGACCAGCCACACUGGAACUGAGACACGGUCCAGACUCCUACGGGAGGCAGCAGUGGGGAAUAUUGGACAAUGGGCGCAAGCCUGAUCCAGCAAUACCGCGUGGGGGAAGAAGGCCUUCGGGUUGUAAAGCGCUUUUGUUGGGAACGAAAAGGAGCAGGUUAAUACCCCGGGGUAAUGACGGUACCGAAAGAAUAAGCACCGGCUAACUACGUG